AGUUAAUGUAAAAUCAAAUACCCCUUGUGUCCCCUCAUCCCUGUCCCCCCAUGUCCAUGUCUGUGUCGUCCCCCCCGCAAUGAUCCAAUGAUAUUUCACUAUAUGCUUCUCUGCCCUGCAGAACUUGGUGAACUUGUUUUGAUAGCAAAGUUAGGAACAGAUACUGUUUGGUUGUGAACUACUUCCUGUACACUUGUUACGGGUUGAAUAAACCCUAACCCUCUUCAUGAUCUUUGCCUUCUGAUAAAUCUCCGUACUCCUCUUUGCCAGUUUUAGAGGGUGUCAGGGAGCUAAAGGGCUGUAGAAAGGCCAUUUUGGUGGGAGGGGAUCUGCCAGCUUCCCUGGCAUAAUGAUUAAACCAGAAGAAAGUGAUUGGACAGAACACAUCAGAAACUGAAAAAUGGGGAUUAGCUGGCGCCACAGCUCACAAAAGAAUUAACAGACAACACCGCAUGACCCAAAGCAUUUCACCAUCUGUACUUUGCAACACAUGGACAAGCACACUGAAGCGAUAAAAGAGACACAAAGACAAAAGAGUAAAAGGCAUGUUAGCUGUGGCUCAGCUGCAAAAGAUUAUUGCUUGUAGCAAUAGGCUCCAAGAUCAAAUGAGGAAUUUGCUUUUUUUAAAAAGUAAAUAAAAGGUAUGAGCACAGUAA